rnacentral:misc_RNA from 1 species
AAUUCUCAACCUUAUCAGUUUUGUUACAAACCUGUGUAAGGCUUGGAUAUGGAGGUUUGCAGGUCCACUACCAUGGUCUGCUCCUCUGAAAUGUAUUAGCGGGUUAAGCUCCCGUCUAUUAGUGUGAUAAUUAUCUACGCUAUAGAUGUGGUAAGCUAUAAUUGACCAGCUUCUAAUCGUCUUUCGAGACAACUUUUGACAU